rnacentral:rRNA from 1 species
GAUGAACGCUGGCGGCGUGCCUAAUACAUGCAAGUCGAGCGAACGGACGAGAAGCUUGCUUCUCUGAUGUUAGCGGCGGACGGGUGAGUAACACGUGGAUAACCUACCUAUAAGACUGGGAUAACUUCGGGAAACCGGAGCUAAUACCGGAUGAUAUUUUGAACCGCAUGGUUCAAAAGUGAAAGACGGUCUUGCUGUCACUUAUAGAUGGAUCCGCGCUGCAUUAGCUAGUUGGUAAGGUAACGGCUUACCAAGGCAACGAUGCAUAGCCGACCUGAGAGGGUGAUCGGCCACACUGGAACUGAGACACGGUCCAGACUCCUAAGGGAGGCAGCAGUAGGGAAUCGUCCGCAAUGGGCGAAAGCCUGACGGAGCAACGCCGCGUGAGUGAUGAAGGUCUUCGGAUCGUAAAACUCUGUUAUUAGGGAAGAACAUAUGUGUAAGUAACUGUGCACAUCUUGACGGUACCUAAUCAGAAAGCCACGGCUAACUACGUG